GUGGGCGACUGCGAUCCUUUCAGAAGAUCAGAAGAUGAAGUUCCACUUCUGCUGUACACCCACAAUUACGUCGGCAGGGAUGGAUAGGAGGGGCGCACUGAUCACCCGAAAAGAUGAGGAACGUGGCUUUGGACUACUCGACAGUUCCUGGGAGUUUAAAGGUGUAAUCUCAAUCCAUAGUUUUACACAUAGUAGACAAAUACAUUCCACAGAAAAAAGAAAAAUCUCCACAGUCUCGCUCUCAUCCCAAAACCAUCUCCACUUCCGAAGGGCAUAAAACAUAAUUGAAAGGAGUCAGACAAGAAGAAGAAUUUCAAAUGUAUCCAGCUGUCCAAAGGAACGUAGAAGCAUGACACAGCUGUCCUGCACAUCCACAAGAGCUGUCAGUCAAGCGAAAGGUACUUAUCUUAGUUUAAAGUGAGUAUGUAUGUGUUUACUCAAGGUGUGAAAAGGAUGGUUUAAUUAUAGACUGCCACUUGUCGCCCAGUCCCCAUGACUGCAGUCAGAAAGAUGUUCACAUGACCUUUCACUUCUCUUCUGGGACCUCUCUGCAAUCCACAAGCCAUUGUUUUAUCCACGUAUAUAAUAUUUUUUGUUUCAGAGUUAACAUUUCAUUACCUAUAUUGGAAUCAUAGCUCCUUUUUAUACAUAACUUCUCAUUUUAACUGACCAUAUGCAAUCACACAACUGAACAUAAAAUAAUAAUUAAAU